ACACAGCCAAAUUAGAAUUUCUAGGCUAAUGACAUAUUGAUAUGGCCUGGCCCACUUAGCUGUAUUCAAGCUCUAACUUUAAUUCUCACUUUUCAUCUGACCUUUCAGAGUCUCCUUUGCAUGAUCUCCAAGCUUAAAGGAGAGAAGCUUCCCACAGAGUGAUCCCUUGGAAUUUAUGCCUCCUGAAAAACCGCCAGUUUAACUGCCAUCGCUGUACCAGGCUGGUGUGCAGCUCUUGCUCCACUAAGAAAAUGGUUGUAGAGGGCAGCAAAGAGAACCCAGCUCGGGUAUGUGACCAGUGCUACAAGAAACAUUUGCCAGAGGAGAGUAUAGGACAUUCAGAAGACCCCCAGUGUCUCCUUGUGCAUUGCCAUCCUGAACCUGCACCGUGACAGCAUUGUGUGCAGCCAUCAGUUGAUUGAUCACUGCUGCCGACUGUCUUGGGGCCUGACCAACCCCGAGGUGGAUGCUGGACUGCUCACAGAUAUCAUGAAGCAGCUGCUCUUCAGUGCCAAGAUAAUGUUUGUUAAAGCUGGCCAGAGCCAAGACUCAGCACUGUGUGACAGGUAGCCUUGUCCUGUGGGUUAGGAGGGUUUCCUUCUACAUCUUCCACUCCCAGUUAUCCAAACACCCCCAACUUCAAAAAGAUAGGGUUGGACAGGAAUUCAGCCCACUCUAAUUGAUUCAUGUUAAUGAGUUAAUUGCUAAAUCCUAUGUGAUUUCACUUCAUUCUGUUUUAAUAUCAGUAUCUAUAUUCCCAUACUGAGUUCCUGGGGAAAAAAUCAGUAUCAAUGAGACUAGAAUCAGAAGAAA